CACAGGCUCCUUUCUAAAUCCAACAGCAAGAUUCUUAGAAGGGAAGACUAGGGGUAGGGUGGGGAAAGGUCUUAGGAAGCCAGGGGCUGAGUGGCUCCCAGAAAGCAUGCCUGAGAUCUGAGGGGGGUCACUGCACGGGGCUGCAGGACUGCUCCUGCGCGGCCUCCAGGUGGUCCAGGUGACCCCGCUCACCUGCCAGGUGGGAAAGUCCUGCUUCUGGGCUUUUCCUGGACCCUGGCCAGCACUGGGAUUUACUCUCCUGGUAAUCACACACUCUCAGAAGGCCCUUUCCCUGAACAGCCUUAUUUCAGCAGUAAGGUGCGCCCACCUACCUACCGACUCAGGCCCACCACGGCAAAGACCCUCUAUCCUCCCCCCGGCUCCUCUGCGGCUCAGGGAGGGCACCUGGUGAGAUGCUGGCCCCGCCCCAUCGACGUGGUGCCAUCACGUGACUCCCCCCCACCAAUGAGAGGUAAGCGGAAGUGACGAUUCUUUCUCCUGCGUGGGAGCUUUACGGACACGCCAGUGCAUGCUGCGGCCUCUUCCGUUUGCCUCCGGGAUAGACGAUGCUCGAUGUAGUGGUAAUUCUGUGCCCUCCCCACAGUGGACUGGGAACGACUUGAGGAUGGUGGCCUGUCCAUCUCUUGCAUCCGUCAUCAGAGCCGAGAGUAACGCUGGCUCAUGCCAAAUGCUCCAUGUUUGCACAUGUGAAGGACUGAGCCAAGUUGAAAAAGAUGACCUUCUGGCUUUUUUGGGAAAAUUGUCCACUGAAUUUUGCCACCUACAGAAAAGGCAAGGACUGUACUAUGAUUCUCAUAGUCAGAAGAGUUAUGAUGCACUGCUGAAGGAUAGACGGGCAUUGAGUUCAGAAAACAAAAAGUUGUAUAUGACUGACUGGAUCAAGAACAGAGACCGUCAUGAGUGGGCAGUGGUGCUUUCCACAGAAGGAAGAUGGUCUAAGCAAAGAGGAGACAAACACAAAGCAAAUAUGCUCCAGCCUCAGAUGGGGAUGUCGGCAAGUGAGGAUAGAAACGAUUCCCAGCAUCGACUGAGGCCCCGUGCUGACGCGUGCCCUGGCUUGUUUAAUCCCCAGGGUCUGUGCUGCCUCCCCAUGCAGCAAUCAUUCCACUGGACUGGAGGUUGGCAGCAGAGGGAAGCUUCCUGAAUUUGCUUUGUGGAAUACGACAUAGAAAGAAGACUGGGUUGGGCGUGCUAGCUCACGCCUGUAAUCCCAGCACUUUGGGAGGCUGAGGCAAGCAGAUCACUUGAGGUCAGGAGUUCGAGACCAGCCUGGACAACAUGGUGAAACCCCAUCUCUACUAAAAAUACAAAAUUUAGCCAGGCGUGGUGGCGCGUGUCUGUAAUCCCAGCUGCUCAGGAGGCUGAGGCAGGAGAAUCCCUUGAACCCAGGAGGUGGAGGUUGUAGUGAGCUGAGAUCUUGACAUUGCACUCCAGCCUGAGGGGCAGAACAAUACUUUGUCUCAAAAAAAAAAAAAAGAAAAAAGAAAGUAGACUGAAGACAGACUGGGUGAAUAGACAUUACUUCGUUUUAUUUUUGAUUAACAAGUUUACACUGGAAUUAACAAUAGUUCUCAUUUUUUUGGAUAACCUUAAUUUGUCCUCAUUUGAAGCAUUAAAAUUUAUGAACAGUGUUAAUGGAAGGGCUUUUGGCCUAACUAUGCAGUCGCCGUUUCUUUAACUUCUCACCCCACCUCCACGAGGGAAAAUUCAUUUUGCAAAGCUUUUAGCGGCGCGUAUAUUUCAUGUGAAUCUGCCUUUCCCAUUUGGCAUGCCUAGUUUUACAUUACUUCUGGCCACUGUUUCAUUAAUGGCAUUAGGAUUUUUAUUUUCCUGAUCCAAGGGCAGAAGAAUUGGACCCAUUCUAUCUGGUAAUUCAUCAAACAGUUUCUCUACCACAAAGAACAUUUUUUCUUCCCUCUCUCUGGGUUUCUGGCAGCUCAUCUCACCCUGCCAGGGGAGAUUGAACAGUUUACUCUUUUGAAGAGUUCACAUCAGAAGAUCUCACCACAUGCCUCUAAGAUUUCACCUCAUGAGAAAUUCCCCGUCAAAUCUGUGGUUUUGCCUCUUCCCAGGACCUUUUGAAUUCCGUAAUGGCGUCAUGUGCUGGCUGUGCAGUUUGCCCCUUUUCAAACAUUUACAGAUGCUUUUAGGAGUCUC
rnacentral:lncRNA from 13 species